UUUUUUUUUUUUUCUUUUUAAAGACAAGAGUCAUACUAUAUAGCCCAGGCUGUCUUUGAAAUCUUGCUUUUGAUGCCUUCAUUUCCUGGGCACAUUUUAUUUUUUUAAAUGUUAAACUAUCCUCAGUUGUUAACAGUACUGCCCUUAGCCAUAGCAGUAUGUGGGUGCUAUAGGAGAGUGGCUCUGCCUACUAGUAGGUUUUUCAGGCAAGUAUUAAUCUGUUGCUAAUCUUAGAUUUGGAAGGAUGCCUUCUGAUUCUCCCAAAGCAUAGAAGUAUGGGAAGCUAUCUGAAGCCAUCUCCCACUCAUAUCCUUUCCUCUUGGGAGGCUUCCAAUGUGCUCAGAAUAGAUUGGCGUGUAAAAUAUAAAAAUACUUACUAUGAGGCCUAGCCUUGGUCUCUCAGUGAAACAGCAUCUCACAACUGUUGCUGUUGUUAUCCUGCCUGUUUGGAUGAGCUAUUUUCCUUUUGGAUAUAUGGGGGAGGCCCAAGAAGCUGGCACCUUCGGCUUACUCUCUUUUGUUAUUGAUGUAAGUAAUAAACUGCCUGACUCUAAAAACAGCUCAUUGCAUCUUUUACCAUCUGUCUUAGUCUGACCUCGAUCUCACUUUGGCUGCAGCUGUAUAUGUAGUUACCUCUCAGGAACUAAGGAAUACAACCUACAACUGCUACAGUAGCAAUUGACAGCCAGCCUUCUGCCAUCUGCACUUUGAGAGCUGUGCAGCUGAAGAAAAUGCCUACCCAAGUUUAUGCUCCCUUUGGGAAGAAAGGAAAAGGAGACUGUAGCCAACAGCAGUCACCCCAGAUAUAAAAAUGUUCUGUCAGGCACAGUGUGUGUUCUCUUCCCAGGGUCUAUAGCCGUUCUGUUGCACCUGAGUGAGACUCCUGAUGAUGCCCUUCCAGUUGCCCUCAGGCUGCCAUCACCAAAGCUGAAGCUCACAAGUGAUGCCCAGCAUUUAUAUGCCCCAGCCUGUCUACCCCUGGAUUCUGACCUCAGUUAUGAUAUGUUAUAGAUUGCUGGGUCUUAAGUUUUGCAAUAUUCAUGUCAAAACUGGUCUGGAAUUUUCCUUCCUUGGUAAACAUCUCUUGAAAGCUGUCAACAAUGUUUCUGAGACCAUAAAUGAUUAACUUUAAAAAACAAAACAAAAACAACAACAAAAUAAUGUUUGAUCUCUGAUUAUAUUCAGCGAAAGUUUUAAAUACUUGAACCAGCAUUUAUAAGUGCAGUGAUCUGAAGGAAGCCCAUUUUGAAGAAAAGGCAGUAGAGAGGAAAGAGUAGGAGUGAGGUAGUGGGAUAAUGAGCAACUGUGUCUGUAUCUCUUAGGACAUCUCCCAACAACCCAGCAGAGGGUUUGCAUGACUCAGGUUGCUGCUGUUUGUCCUGGGGUUUCUGCAGCAAUGGAGGAGUGUCUUCAAAGUGUACGGUGUGAAUUCAGUUAUCAGUGUUGUCUUGUAUAAAGUUCUCUAUAGUCAGCAACUAUCUGCUGUUUUUGGUUUUACAUCUUUUCCUUAUGCUCUAAGUUCUUAACACAUAGUUUUGGACCUCAAAAUAACAUUUUAGAGUUAUUCUAGGCUCAAUAGUUUUUGCUUUAGAUAAUUAUUACAUUUUCCUAAAUUUGUAAUUGCUUUAUUCUGUCAGAUCUUUUAAAUAAUAUAUAUUCAUUUUUAAGGGAAUAUCUGAUGAGUUUUGGUAAAUGUGAAUCUCCAUGUGACCUCUGCCACAAUUGAGAAAGGGGAUAUUUUAUCCUUUUCAGCCCCUUGUAUCACUCUUCCUGAUCUGGUACCUGAGCAACCGCUGAUCUGCUUUUUCUCUUGACAUCUUAAUGUACCUUUUUAAAAAUUCAUAUGAUAGAAUCAUAGCCUAAUUGUUAAAUGUACCUUCUUUCACUCAACAAAAUGUAUUUAAUAUUUAAGAUCUGUCCUUGUCUGUGUGGAUACUAGCAGUAUAUUCCUUCAAUUGUUGAGAAGUUCCCUGUAGUAUGGUCUAUCAUAGUUUGUUUAUUCAACCAACUCUCAAGAAUAUUUUCAAUAAAAUUUACU
rnacentral:lncRNA from 1 species